rnacentral:rRNA from 1 species
CCUACGGGAGGCAGCAGUGAGGAAUAUUGGUCAAUGGACGAGAGCCUGAACCAGCCAAGUAGCGUGAAGGAUGACUGCCCUAUGGGUUGUAAACUUCUUUUAUAUGGGAAUAAAACGUUCCACGUGUGGGAUUUUGUAUGUACCAUAAGAAUAAGGAUAGGAUAACUCCGUGCCAGCAGCCGCGGUAAUACGGAGGAUACGAGCGUUAUUCGGAUUGAUUGGGGUUAAAGGGAGCGUAGGUGGAUUGUUAAGUCAGUUGUGAAAGUUUGCGGCUCAACCUUAAAAUUGCAGUUGAUACUGGCAGUCUUGAGUACAGUAGAGGUGGGCAGAAUUCGUGGUGUAGCGGUGAAAUGCUUAGAUAUCUCGAAGAACUCCGAUUGCGAAGGCAGUUCACUGGACUGCAACUGACACUGAGGUGCGAAAGUGUGGGUAUCAAACAGGAUUAGAUACCCGUGUAGUC